rnacentral:rRNA from 1 species
UACGUAGGGUGCAAGCGUUAAUCGGAAUUACUGGGCGUAAAGGGCGCGCAGGCGGCUCAUUUUGUCAGGCGUGAAAGCCCCGGGCUUAACCGGGGAACUGCGUCUGAUACUGGAUGGCUUGAGUUCGGGAGAGGGAUGCGGAAUUCCAGGUGUAGCGGUGAAAUGCGUAGAUAUCUGGAGGAACACCGGUGGCGAAGGCGGCAUCCUGGACCGACACUGACACUGAGGAGCGAAAGCCAGGGGAGCAAACGGG